UGUCACUCCUUGGUGAGCAUAGCAGCGGACAGCACCUUCCUGUUGAAAUCCAAGGAGUGCUGGCAGCUGCCGGACAGGAAAACCAACAGAGAUCACACCUCCCAGAAGAUGGCUGUUUCAAAGUGAGUUCUGGGUUUCCAUGGACUCCUCGAGGAAAAUUUCCAGGGAUAUUUUCUACUUGAUUACCUUAUUCAUAUUUACAUCUCAAGAGCUUUGCCAAAUACAUCAUCUAAACAGAAAAGCAAUAAGAAGUCGUGCAGAAGAGUAUUGGACUAAAACUUAGGACCUGAGUUCUGGUACAAACCAGCAGGAAAACCACAGAGGGUGAAUUUGAAGGAGGGGAUCUGUGUCUCAGCCUUUGCACCACCACCUCACCCCAUAUGUCUGCACUAAGUAAGUAUUUAAAAUAAAUGAAUGGUGUGUGUUUGGUGGGGGGCAAUGGAUUUGAAAAUGGCAUUUGCUUAAAAGCUCUAGAUCUUAACAGUUUUCAAGAAUUAAAAACAAGCAGGACA